rnacentral:lncRNA from 1 species
UGAGCCGUUGUCGAUGAUGGAGUUUUCUAAUCGACGAUCGGCUCCGUUAAACUUGAUCUAAGGUAUUUGAAGUUUCUAGAAAAUAAUUUUUGCGAUUUUUCGAUAUCAUUUACCUAGCAAUCGAAAUGAUUCAAAAUUAAUAAUUUUUAACCAGUACCCCUAUCAAAAUAACCUCCAAUUGCAAGUCACAACUAGAAAAAU